CAAUAGCAUAUAUUAACGUUGUUGCAGUUGAAAAGCUCGUAGUUGAACUUUUGGUAGGAGCGACCUGGCCUUGGGCGCAUGCCCUUGUUUGCCGUGUGUCGUAUCUGGCCAUCCUUUUCCGUUUCGGCGGGAAUCUUUUACUGUGAGUAAACUGGAGUGCUCAUAACAAGACGUUUGUUUGGUACAUUAAAGCAUGGAAUAAUAAGAUAGGACCUGGUUACUAUUUUGUUGGUUUGCAUAGCUAGGUAAUGAUUAACAGGGACAGUUGGGGGUAUUCGUAUUUAAUUGUCAGAGGUGAAAUUCUUGGAUUUAUGAAAGACGAACGACUGCGAAAGCAUUUACCAAGGAUGUUUUCAUUAA
rnacentral:rRNA from 1 species